CCUACGGGUGGCAGCAGUGAGGAAUAUUGGUCAAUGGACGAGAGUCUGAACCAGCCAAGUAGCGUGAAGGAUGACUGCCCUAUGGGUUGUAAACUUCUUUUAUAAAGGAAUAAAACGAGGCACGUGUGCCUUUUUGCAUGUACUUUAUGAAUAAGGAUCGGCUAACUCCGUGCCAGCAGCCGCGGUAAUCCGGAGGGGCCGAGCGUUAUCCGGAUUUAUUGGGUUUAAAGGGAGCGUAGAUGGGUUGUUAAGUCAGUUGUGAAAGUUUAGGGCUCAAACGUAAGAUUGCAAUUGAUACUGGGUGGCUAGAGUACAGGUGAGGUAAGCGGAAUUCGUAGUGUAGCGGUGAAAUGCGUAGAUAUCAGGAAGAACCCCAGUGGCGAAGGCAGCUUACUAAACUGUGACUGACGUCGAUGCUCGAAAGUGUGGGGAGCAAACAGGAUUAGAUACCCUGGUAGUC
rnacentral:rRNA from 1 species